CUUCAGAAAAUCUGUGCUAAUGUGAAAUCUGUUGCACACCUUCUGUUCUAGAUUUCAGGCUCUUGAGAGCUAGAGACCCAUCUGUCCAGUGCCCAAGGCAGUACACCAGAGGCAUUGAGCAGAGGUGUCUGUCACUGAAGAUUGUGACCAGUUGCUGAACACCAGUCCCCCGUGUCUUCUCAGAGGAAAAUGAUCAGGAAGAUGUGCCUCUAAAGGAUGCAGCUGAAGUCUCCACCAGGCUGAGUGCCUUCCCUCUGAAUGUCUCCAGUCCCAGUGUUCUCCCAAACUAUAGAAUCCACAAAGCCUGCUAGUUCUGGCCUUGGAGAUCUCCAGUUACUGUGUGAAGGCAUCAGGUGCCGCCAGUUACCUGUGCAGAGUAUUAGCUACUCUAGUUGCUGGACGUUUUACACAUCCCUUCCAGAUGCAGCUCAUGCUUGCCCUGUAUUUACGUGGAGGAAGCCCCUGUGCUGACUACAGAAGCAACAAGAAGCACUGAGGUGCACAGCAAAGCAGCUUCAGAAGGUCCUGAGGAUCCAGCAGUUGUGUGUGCCACUGACCAACUCGUCACCUAGGUUGAGGCAGACAGCUGUUCAGCAUCUCCACCGAAGACCAACCGGGAGGAAGCCGGCUCAAGUCACAGCAUUGGGGAUUUAGGACACAAGAAAGAAUUUCCUGACUUUGAGAAAUGUUAAACACCAGGAAAAGUUACCCAUAGGGGUUGA